CUUUCAGUAUUAAUUAAACUUACAUGCAGUCUCCCACUCCAGUGAAAUGCCCUUUAUCUUCCAACUAUUAGAAGAAAAGGAGUUGGUAUCAGGCUCAAAUAGCCCAAGACACCUAGUUUAGCCACACCUCCAAAGGACUUCAGCAGUGAUUAACAUUAAACAUUAGCGCAAGCUAAAUUUAGUUAUAAUUAAUAUGGUCGGUUAAUUUCGUGCCAGCCACCGCGGUUAUACGAAAGACUUAAACUGAAAGCCACCGGCGUAAAGCGUGAUUAAGGGUAAAAAUUUUUCUAAAGCUAAACUCUGAUUUAAUUGUUGUAAGUUAUUAUCAGUUGGAAACUCAUUCACGAAAGUAGCUUUAUCACUCCUGACUUCACAGUAGCCAAGACCCAAACUGGGAUUAGAUACCCCACUAUGCUUGGCCCUAAACUUUGAUAAUUACAUUUCUC
rnacentral:rRNA from 1 species